rnacentral:rRNA from 1 species
UUGACCUCGGAUCAGGUAGGGAUACCCGCUGAACUUAAGCAUAUCAAUAAGCGGAGGAAU